rnacentral:rRNA from 1 species
AGAUUGAACGCUGGCGGCAGGCCUAACACAUGCAAGUCGAGCGGUAGAGAGGUGCUUGCAUCUCUUGAGAGCGGCGGACGGGUGAGUAAUGCCUAGGAAUCUGCCUAGUGGUGGGGGAUAACGUUCGGAAACGGACGCUAAUACCGCAUACGUCCUACGGGAGAAAGCGGGGGACCUUCGGGCCUCGCGCCAUUAGAUGAGCCUAGGUCGGAUUAGCUAGUUGGUGAGGUAAUGGCUCACCAAGGCGACGAUCCGUAACUGGUCUGAGAGGAUGAUCAGUCACACUGGAACUGAGACACGGUCCAGACUCCGUACGGGGGCAGCAGUGGGGAAUAGUUGGACAAUGGGACGAAAGCCUGAUCCAGCCAUCGCGCGUGUCGUGAAGAGUCUCGGAUUGUAAGCAUUUAAGUGGAGGAAGGUACGUAACUAAGUACGUUGCUAACGUUGAACGUUACCGA